GACGAACGCUGGCGGCGUGCUUAACACAUGCAAGUCGUACGGUAAGGCCCUUUCGGGGGUACACGAGUGGCGAACGGGUGAGUAACACGUGAGUAACCUGCCCACAACUUUGGGAUAACGCUAGGAAACUGGUGCUAAUACUGGAUAUGUGCUCCUGCUGCAUGGUGGGGGUUGGAAAGCUCCGGCGGUUGUGGAUGGACUCGCGGCCUAUCAGCGUGUUGGUGGGGUAGUGGCCUACCAAGGCGGCGACGGGUAGCCGGCCUGAGAGGGUGACCGGCCACAUUGGGACUGAGAUACGGCCCAGACUCCUACGGGGGGCAGCAGGGGGGAAUAUUGCACAAUGGGCGCAAGCCUGAUGCAGCAACGCCGCGUGCGGGAUGACGGCCUUCGGGUUGUAAACCGCUUUCAGCAGGGACGAAGCUUUUUGUGACGGUACCUGCAGAAGAAGCACCGGCUAACUACGUG
rnacentral:rRNA from 1 species